rnacentral:lncRNA from 1 species
AUGGCGGGCACGGCACACACAGAGGCCUGGAGGCUGGAGCCAGAAGAGAGAGUCGGAGGCUGGUGCUGUUCUGAGGACCCCCAUCACCCUGCUCCCUGUUUCCUGAGGGGAGGGGCUCACGGCCGGGAAGAUCUGCGUCUCCUAGCGUCCAGGACCGUGCGAGCUCCCUGUGGCCACGGGAACGAAUUGCACAGACGGGGCGGCUGGAGCCAGCAGUUCUGGAGCGCAGCUGUCUGCGGUCAGCAUUCCGGCCUGAAACCAUGGUGCUGGGGCCGCGGGACGCGCUCCCUCCGGAGGCUCUUGGGGAGGCCGUUCCUGCCUCUUCCAGCCUCCAGUGGCUGUGGGCACCCUCACCCUUGGCCGCGUUGCUGCAGCCUCCGCCGCCCCUUCUCCUGUCUAUGUCUGUCCUCUCCUCUGUGUGUCCCCUGUACGGAUGGCAGUCACCGGGCCAGGGCCCACCUGGAUCUUACUGAGGGCCGCCAUUCAACCCACGAUGGAUCUGAGGUGUGCGCAUUUGAGGAACGUGCCUGUUCCCUCCUGAGUGGAUUACGGUCAGCGUCUACACUGUUCAGAAUGGAGAAUCCUGUUAAACUUCGAGCGGUUGUUCCAGCCAUAAGGCGUUGGGGACAGACUGCUGGUUUUCCUGAUAUAUCUUCCCUUGGAUCUUAUCUUUUGAUGUCUGACCCAAUCCUCCAGUUUUUAAACCAAUUCGUUACGUGUUUAUGGCGCUUGCCGUGCGUGUUAUGCAGUGGACACCACCCGUCAGCCCCGCACAACCCCUGGGCUUCAGCCAAGCCCGCUUUGUCCUGUUCUUGUUUUGCGCGUCCCUCCUCCCUGCCUUGGGUUCUGCUCUUCCCCACGUUCCCCAGUGCUCUUCCCUCUUCUCUCCAUGGGUUCACAUCCCACACGCCUGCUGAGACCCAGACACGGUUGGGGGGCACGAAGCCGUGGGUCGUGUCUGUCGUGUGUGCUCCGGAGCCAGGUCGCGUGGAUUCAAACCCCGGAUCUCCAGCUCUGAGACGCAGGUUCUGUCUGGAAGAGCAGGAUGCUAAGAUCAGCCUCGCUUUACGGGCUGUUGGGGGGUUAAACGGUGCGUCGUUGGUAAAGCCUUCAGCGGGCGCCUGGUGCACCAGAGGCCUCCACACGCUAGCUAAACUUAUCACUGUCACCUUCCGCCCAGAACUUGGUGGCACAGUUGCGAUGCAAUUCGGACGCUAA